rnacentral:rRNA from 1 species
UACGGGGGGAGCAAGCGUUGUUCGGAUUUACUGGGCGUAAAGGGCGCGUAGGCGGUCAGCACAAGUCAGUUGUGAAAUCUCCGGGCUUAACUCGGAAAGGUCAACUGAUACUGUGCGACUAGAGUGCGGAAGGGGCAACUGGAAUUCUCGGUGUAGCGGUGAAAUGCGUAGAUAUCGAGAGGAACACCUGCGGCGAAGGCGGGUUGCUGGGCCGACACUGACGCUGAGGCUCGAAAGCGUGGGGAGCAAACGGG